UUCUUUUCGUUUGAAACAAUGAUUGUACACAGGUGUAAUGCGUUUAAAUUGAAUCGAUUUUGGGAUAUCAAAAACUAGCGCACAACGGAAUCCAUUUAGGAUGUAUUUCAGGAAACGACGGUUCUGGUAACACUGUAAAAAAAAGAGAACGCUUUUGCAUCGACUAUCAGAUGCCCGUUACUCUGUUAAAUGUAUUGAGAUGGAGAUGGAGAUAUUGCAGAAGCCGCCGUCGUUUUAUACUCUCUCUCUCUUCGUUUCAACAAGAUAGUUGUGGGCGACUUCUUCGCAGCCAAAUACCGUUGUUGUUGUCGCCGCUAUUGUAAGCGGAAUUGCACAAGAACUUGUACUCUCACUCUUCGUUUCACCAAUCAUAGUUGUGGGCGACUUCGUCGCAGCCAAAUACCGUUGUUGUUGUCGCCGCUAUUCUAAGCGGUAAUUCACAAGAAAUAAAAUCUAUAACACUAAGGCUGAGUUUUAAUUGGAAUUGAUGGUUCUGGUAGAACUGUAAAAAAAGAGAACGCUUUUGCUUCGACUACCAGAUGCCCGUUACUCUGUUAAACGUCUUGAGAUGGAGAUAGAGAUAUUGUAGAAGCGGCCCUCGUUAUAUACUCUCUUCGUUUCACCAAUCAUAGUUGUCGGCGACUUUUUCAGCAGAGAUCACCCCGUACCGGGGUUCUAGAAAGCUGUAAGGCUGCGAUAAGCAAGCAGUAAUAAUGAUACUGACUUGGAAAUUAAUGUGAGUUUGGCACUGCAAGAGGGUGGUGUCUCUAGAAUCAUAAGAAUCGGGAAACACGACAGACAUUCAUCGACAUACAUAUGCCCCUUUAAUAUUUGUGCAUAUGUACGUAUGAAUGUAUAAAACAGCAAACAUUUACAAGCCCUAAAAAGAGAGAAACUAUAUCAAUUUUAUAUUUGUAAGUUGAAUGGAAGAUUGCCGGGUGAACUUUGUCAAUGAAAUAGUUUAUUUACUGAAUGAAUGCAUCUCAAUCAAUCACCUUUACGUACACAUACGUCACGUCACAUGCUCAGCACAUCGUAGUUCAUAUGUGCUGGGAUGUUGUAAUACUAUUUGUGUUUUUACAGCGCAUUGAUAUAUAAUCCAUUCUUUUUCAAAUGUCAAACUACAACAGUUAUUCCGUUUUCUCGUCGAAAACUUUCCCUAAAAGCGCAAGUGUUUCUGGGUGUUUCAUCUGAGGUUUCUACUUUAGAAAAAUAUAUGUAUGGUGUUAUAUAUUAUGAAGUAGCGUUUCUCAAAUUACAUGGACUGGGUACAAAUUUGUAUACAAUUCUAGCUUGUUUUCUUCGCUUUCCACUUCGUGACAAACAAGUUUAUGUUAUUCUUAGAUUACAAUCAUUUUCUUACUUGGAAGUACAAUUUAUAAAGACUUCUGUAUGAGUUUACUGGGGUUGUGUUCUUACUAUAUGAAAAAAGCAAAGAAUUUGUGUAGUUGGCUACCAGCUCCCAUAUUUAAAUAGAAAUUUUGACAUUUCCGAAUAUCUUAGAAUGUAAACUUUAGAAGCAAUGAAUUUGUCGAAUAAUCUAAAGGAGCACAACUCAUGGAUCAUGUGGGGUCAUAGCGCUUCGGUCUUAUUUAUUUGUUUGUAAACUUGUUGUUUUUGCUACGUAAGGCAACCUCUCACUAUAAUGCGCAAACUAAUAAUUACAAGUUGAACAAAGCAAACGAAUGUGUUGUAUUAUGAAUAAAUUAAUUUUUUUUCGUGUAUUUAAAAGGAUCCCUUUUUCUGUUUUUUACGCUUCCUUGUUUUAGUACUAGUAUGUGUUACAGAGAUAUUUUUAGUACAACUAUUACAAAUUUUCAAUUAAAUAAACUAAGUGUAAACUUAAACAUUUUAUAAAAGCGCGCCUCAAGCUAACGCUGUUCCUUACAAUUUGCAAUUGACCGCUGGUUUAGCUUCCGCUGCACACUAUCAUUUUGCUUCUCUCGCAGAUUGCUAAACCACAGUUUUCGGCACAGAUCGCCGCCAAGUAAUAUCAUAGAACAUAAAUCAGGAUACAGAUUCGAUACGAUAGAGAAUUAGUAACAUAUGCCGGGCAACCAGACCCGUAAGGCGAGCGGGACUCAAACUCAAUUGAUCUGCCUGUGAUUUGUGUAAGUGAGUGUUUUCGGGUCAACUAAAAAUCUAGAAAAA